AUUCGUGAUGGAAUCCAGUGGUCAGGGGUCACUUGGGGAGGCUCAUCAGAGCUGCAUUUGAGUGUCUGGGGAGUGGCUAUGUGGAAAAAAGCCUGGACAGUGAUACCAUGAUCACCAAUACCACCCGCCAGGACCUCACAGCUGACCUGGAGUGGAAGAAAGAAAUGGGGAGAGGGCGUUAAGAAACAUGACAGAGAAGAUCCUGUUGGUUUCAUCAACAGCCUGGACUAUUCUGCCCGAGGGAGAGCAGUCAGUAACAGAAGGAAUCCACAAUGGCCAAGCGGAGACCUGGCAGCAAGGAGCAGGUGUGGCAGCAGGAACAAGAAUUGGGAGCUUGUAUCCUCAACCCAAGCACAGGGCGGGGAAAGCAGACUGGGAACGGUGUGGAUCUUUUCACUCUCAAAGCCUGACUCCAGUGACAUACUUCGUCCCACAAGGCAACGCCUCCUAAACCUCCCCUAGACAGCAUCACCAACUGGUGACCAAGUAGUCAAAUACAUGAGCCUAUGGGGGACAUUCUCAUUCGAACCACCAUGAUGAGUAAGCCCAACACAAGUCAGAGGAAGACCACCCAGCUGAUUCUGCCCAGAUUACCCAUCCACAGAAACAAGGGCUCAGCAAUGUCUGGGAUGGUUUGUUACGCAGCAAAACUAACAGAUACACCUCCUUGAGCUCCAGGGUUUUUGCAAGCGCUGUUCUUUGUGUGGGACACUCCUUUUACUUCCUCUGCUUAGAUGAUUUUUAUUCAUCGCAGCUCAGGGAAGUUUUCUCUGGUCUUGAUUCAUUCACCCCCUCCCUCAGAGUCUCUCUCUCUCUCUCUCUCUCUCUCUCUCUC